AAUAUUUAUUUACAAUACUUCAUUCUGAGGCUCAUAAAUAGCUCAAUUAAGCUUUACAAUAAAUAUUUGACUAACCGGGUAUCUUGUGGUCGAUCAUGAUGCGAUUGUGGCUUUGUUUUUUACUUGUUAGAGACGUCUGUUCAAAUAGAUUGAUUUAUUGUUUUUUGAUUUGCGUUUUCUACAAGAUAGAACAAAGAGACAAAAAGAGAGAGAGAGAUAGAUAGAGAGAGAGCAAGGGAUCGUGCUGAGUUGGGAACUUUCGCAAGUAGCGCGAAAGUUGUUUUUAAAAUUGCCAGCCACAUGUAAAUUCCCCCAGACAAGAAACGACACAGUUUCUGGAUUUGCCACCACAACAACAGGCACAUAUAUAAUAUAAUUCAUACUACGAGUUUAUAUAUGUUAUGCAUUUGGCAUGCCUUAUAGACGCGACUUACAAAUACAGCGCUGCACAGCUCACGUUUCAUUUGAAUAUCAAACGCAAUAAGAAAAUGAAAAAAAUUCAAAUGCAAAUUUGCAAUACGUCGACUUGGGGCUGAAACUUGUGACCCGUCUCUGGGGCGAGCAGCAGCAUUUAUUGUUAUUCAUCCAAUAUGAUUGAGCUGACCAAACGACACCACACCACACCACACCAAAGCUAAUACAAAACAAACGGAGAGUGCAAGUAAAAGUGAGCGUGCGCUAAGCGGCGUAUACUUGAUAUGCAUUGCAACCAAAAAGAAAUGCGCAAUAGCGCAAUGAUAAAUACUCAAGUGGCUUAAGCGUACACUUAAUUUUGCCAAACAAGCGCAGCUAUGUAAAGUGUUCUAAUAAUUGAAAACGAAAACUGUUGAUAAACUAUACGACUUGGAGAAAACGUUACGUAUACGUAAUAUUUUACACAAAAGCCUCAAGCUAGGGAUACAUUUUGUUUUUUCUUUAAAUUUUACUUUUAUUAUUUAGGAAAACGUUAUUCAAACGUAUUGAGAUUGAAUAUAUAACAGUUGCUUUGCCAACACUGCGUAUAUUUAAUAUUUGUGACAACGAUUUUUAUUAAACUUUAAUUUAUAAUGUCGAAUUAGAAAUGAAUUAAAGUCAUUCCAGAAACGCGCAACUCGUGCGAAACAAGAAGAGGCAAUCUGAAGACGCGCAAAAAUUGUCAUAAAGCUUUAUCAGAUAUUUGCGUGUUGUUAAAAAGAUGAACGAAAAGACCCCCUUAAUAAACUAUAUACCUAAUGUCAAGUAAUCCACAAGAAUAUCCCAUCUAUCAUAUAAUACCAUCGUACAUACGUACUAUAUAUAAUCCUCAGCUGGGCCACUUGCGUCAAUGGGGAAGGAGGGCGUUAGGGGGGCGUGAAAACUACAAGUAAUUUAUCAGAAAAUACUUUGACAAUUUGUUAUUUUGUUGUUUUCAUUUUCCUUCUUAUACAUAUUCUUUUUAGUGUGAUGAUCUUGAGUUAAUUUAGCGGCAAUUUAGCAAAUAUGCUUUGUGUGUUGUUUCGCAUUUGGUUUUUGUUUUUGUUUGGCCUGUGGAACCGAAAAAAAAGACGCACAAAACGUAUUAUAAAUAAAUAUCUAAAUUUAAAGAGCACUAUCGCUAUUUUGCUCGAGCAUCUUUCAGUUUUCUUUUGCUCAGCUCAGCCAGCAUAAAUAUGAAAACAAAAUACGCAAUUAGCGUAGAAACGUCGCGAGAAGAACGCGGCGAAUUGAGUGUAGAAAUUUUGCGAUAGACGAAGGGCGACAAAGCGACAGACACGCCCACUUGCCGGAGUAAGAGGGCGUUUAGUAAACUACAUAUGUAGCUAAAUAUUGCAUAUUUUUGAUAUUCAAAUCGAUCUAAUGUUGAUGAUGUUGUUGAUCAACCAAUUUAUUUGCUGCGUGAUUAUUCUAAUUAGUUUUGCUUGUGACCGAAUGUCUGGCAACGCUGCGGCAAACGACAAUAACAGCUGGCAGCAUGCAAAUUUUUGCUAUUGGCAGCCAUGUCCGCUUUCGCUCUCUCGUUCGUUCUCUCACUCUUCUCUCCUUGGACGGGGUCGCUCUCUUGCACUGUUUAUCUUCACUUCGACGCUGGGGUUAUGCAAAUGCUAAAUGCAAUUUCGAAAGUGUGAAAACGUAAACGAAUCAUGUGAGUGUCAGCUGCAGUCACAGCAAAUGCAAAAACAAAGACAAUGGCAAAAGCAAAGGCAAUGACAAGAACAACAUCUCAAGUGAUCGAAUGGAAAAAAAAAUGUGUGCAGUCAGCGCAACUGGCGCAAUUUGCUUUUGUUGUCUAUUUCCCAACCACGCGACGGAUGCAGACAACGCAAAUUGCAAUCACAACAAAUAUCAGCAACAAGCCAAAACUAAUUGCGAACUAUUAAUCCGUCCAAACAAAAAUGUCGCCGAAAUAGUGAGAUAUCAACAGUAGAUUAAGAAGAGUGGAAGAGAGAGAGAGAGACGCAGACGCAAGGGCAUUGCAAAAUACCCAGUAGUGAAUUUGCAUUGCGGACUAGUUUAUUGUGCGGAAUUGCAAUUUGCCAUUCACAUUGCGAACCAGUUCAAUAUGCUGAACUGCUGUUGUAACAGACUUUACUGACAUCAUAAUCCCCAUAUAAAAUAUAUCGAGCGUAUCAGCACUUAAUGUCGGGCUGGACUAUUCAAAAAUAUGUGUAGUAAGUAAUGCACACACAUUACUAAUAGGCGCGUUGUGCACCAAUUGAUAUUAUCGAUAAGGAAUCUUAUCGCCAUAUUUUGCAGUAGCACUUCUAUUAGCAAUCAAAUUAAAUAGAUAAAAUAUACAUAUUGAAAAGGCAUUUGCUAUUUGUUUUUUUGUAAUAGACUUAACUGCGCAAAAAAGAUAAACUAAACACAAAACGAAAUGCUUAAGUUUGGAGUGAGUGAAGAAUGAUCAUUAGGACAAAGCAAAAAUAGUUAUAAUCGGUGCAUGACGGGCCAAAAAACAAAGCAGACAGCUAAAAAAAAGGUAAGCGCUACUAAUUAGAGAUAAACAAUCAUGCGGACUGUCGGCAGCCACAAUUAGGCGCG